rnacentral:rRNA from 1 species
GUGGGGAAUCUUGCGCAAUGGGGGAAACCCUGACGCAGCAACGCCGCGUGGGUGAUGAAGGCCUUCGGGUCGUAAAGCCCUGUCAGGUGGGAAGAAACAUGCCGAUAUGAAUAAUGUCGGCACUUGACGGUACCACCGGAGGAAGCACCGGCUAACUCCGUGCCAGCAGCCGCGGUAAUACGGAGGGUGCAAGCGUUGUUCGGAAUUAUUGGGCGUAAAGCGCGUGUAGGCGGUCGGGUAAGUCAGAUGUGAAAGCCUUCCGCUCAACGGAAGAAGUGCAUUUGAAACUGCCUGGCUAGAGUACGGGAGAGGAGAGUGGAAUUCCCGGUGUAGAGGUGAAAUUCGUAGAUAUCGGGAGGAACACCAGUGGCGAAGGCGGCUCUCUGGUCCGAUACUGACGCUGAGACGCGAAAGCGUGGGGAGCAAACAGGAUUAGAUACCCGGGUAGUCC